rnacentral:rRNA from 1 species
GACGAACGCUGGCGGCGUGCUUAACACAUGCAAGUCGAACGGAAAGGCCCUGCUUUUGUGGGGUGCUCGAGUGGCGAACGGGUGAGUAACACGUGAGUAACCUGCCCUUGACUUUGGGAUAACUUCAGGAAACUGGGGCUAAUACCGGAUAGGAGCUCCUGCUGCAUGGUGGGGGUUGGAAAGUUUCGGCGGUUGGGGGUGGACUCGCGGCUUAUCAGCUUGUUGGUGGGGUAGUGGCUUACCAAGGCUUUGACGGGUAGCCGGCCUGAGAGGGUGACCGGCCACAUUGGGACUGAGCUACGGCCCAGACUCCUACGGGAGGCAGCAGUGGGGAAUAUUGCACAAUGGGCGGAAGCCUGAUGCAGCAACGCCGCGUGCGGGAUGACGGCCUUCGGGUUGUAAACCGCUUUCGCCUGUGACGAAGCGUGAGUGACGGUAAUGGGUAAAGAAGCACCGGCUAACUACGUG